GUAAAGCGUGCGCAGGCGGUUAUAUAAGACAGAUGUGAAAUCCCCGGGCUCAACCUGGGAACUGCAUUUGUGACUGUAUAGCUGGAGUGCGGCAGAGGGGGAUGGAAUUCCGCGUGUAGCAGUGAAAUGCGUAGAUAUGCGGAGGAACACCGAUGGCGAAGGCAAUCCCCUGGGCCUGCACUGACGCUCAUGCACGAAAGCGUGGGGAGCAAACAGGAUUAGAACCCAGU
rnacentral:rRNA from 1 species